rnacentral:rRNA from 1 species
CAAUAGCGUAUAUUAAAGUUGUUGCAGUUAAAAAGCUCGUAGUUGGAUUUCGGGUUGGCUUCAGCGGUCUCGCUUUGCGUUUGUACUGCCGCAGCCUUCCUUCUUGCUGGGGACGGUCCUCCGGGCUUCAUUGCUUGGGGUCUGGAAUCAGCGACGUUACUUUGAGUAAAUUAGAGUGUUCAAAGCAAGCCUACGCUCUGAAUAUAAUAGCAUGGGAUAACACGACAGGACUCUGGCCUAUCGUGUUGGUCUGUAGGACCAGAGUAAUGAUUAAGAGGGACAGUCGGGGGCAUUCGUAUUCCGUUGUCAGAGGUGAAAUUCUUGGAUUUACGGAAGACGAACAUCUGCGAAAGCAUUUGCCAAGGAUGUUUUCAUUGA